UGGAGAUCCCUGCCUACCUGAGGCCCUCAAAAGCACUUUCUGCCCAGAUGCUCUGAAAUGUUUUAUGAACUUUGGGAAAUCACAACUAGAUAAGGUAAUCUGGAAAACAGUCUUUCCAGUGGUAAUCAGCAGUUCUGCUUCUCUUCUUGGUUGUGAUAGAUGUGAAGCAAGAUGACAGCAGUGAGCUGAGUGAGGAAAGCCCAGACCUGCUAAAGAAGAGGUGUUGCAGGAGACUCUGCUCCCAAAAUGUUGUUCAGUGGUUUGCAUGGCAUGACUGCAGGAAAGAUAUAGCCCCAUCUGUCGAGAGGAAGAGUUGAUUGAGCAAGAUGAGAAGGUGACUCUUCUGGAGGAAAUGCUACAGACAGUUCAGUUCCAUUGAGGAUAACACUUCUUUGAUAUGCUACCAUUUAGAGUGUCACAGUUCGAGACUCCUUGGAAGAAGAUAGCAUUUUGCUCAUUCUGGAGAUCUGGACCCAUUAGUAAAUUGAAGACCUUAGAAGCUGUUCCACUCAAGUCAACAUCUGGAUGUUUGCAAUUUCACCUAAACAACUUAAGGAAGUUAAUAAAACUGAAUCCAGGAAAGUUCGGAUUGCCCAUGGAAGAGAGAAUGGAUCUUGAUCUAUGUUCCCUAGAUGGAUUUCACAACUAAGUUAAUCAAUAUAAAGUGAAGAAUGCACCAAAGACCAGCACAAGCCUUCUGCACCCUCAACAUGGGUCUUGAGCCAGUCCUCUUAACACAUAGGAAACAGAAGAAAGAACCUGA